rnacentral:rRNA from 1 species
GACGAACGCUGGCGGCGUGCCUAAUACAUGCAAGUUGAGCGCUGAAGGUUGGUACUUGUACCAACUGGAUGAGCAGCGAACGGGUGAGUAACGCGUGGGGAAUCUGCCUUUGAGCGGGGGACAACAUUUGGAAACGAAUGCUAAUACCGCAUAAAAACUUUAAACACAAGUUUUAAGUUUGAAAGAUGCAAUUGCAUCACUCAAAGAUGAUCCCGCGUUGUAUUAGCUAGUUGGUGAGGUAAAGGCUCACCAAGGCGAUGAUACAUAGCCGACCUGAGAGGGUGAUCGGCCACAUUGGGACUUAGACACGGCCCAAACUCCUACGGGAGGCAGCAGUAGGGAAUCUUCGGCAAUGGACGAAAGUCUGACCGAGCAACGCCGCGGGAGUGAAGAAGGUUUUCGGAUCGGAAAACUCUGUUGGUAGAGAAGAACGUUGGUGAGAGUGGAAAGCUCAUCAAGUGACGGUAACUACACAGAAAGGGACGGCUAACUACGUG